rnacentral:tRNA from 1 species
GCAACAGUUGCAAUAAAGUGGAAUUGAUAUGAUUUGCAAUCAUGGAUCAUAGGUUCAAAUCCCACCUGUUGCU